rnacentral:rRNA from 1 species
CGUUCCCGGGCCUUGUACACACCGCCCGUCACACCAUGGAAGUCGGUUGUACCGGAAGCGAGCACGCCAACCUGCAAGGGGAGGCAACUCCCCAGGGUACGACCGGUAACCGGGGUG